ensembl:rRNA 5S_rRNA 5S ribosomal RNA
UUAGAAUUUAACCCUGAACACACCCGAUCUCAUCUGAUCUCAGAAGCUAAGAAGGGUCAGGCCUGAUUCAUACUUGAAUGGGAGAACACUAGAAUUUAGUCCUAUCUAAC